rnacentral:lncRNA from 1 species
UCCAGGAACUCUGAGUCAUAGACAGCCCACCAACACCGCUCUCAAAAAUACAAAUCACAUCGGCUACCCGAGAACCAUUAUAGAAGAGGUAUGUCUCCAGGGUUGGAGCUCCGGGAUUAUUAACCACUAGAGAGCUCGAAUUCUUGGACUUCACGUAGUUGUAGAGGCUUUGAUAGUAAGGCUGCUUCCCGUCUGUGUUGGCAACUUCGUCGAAGAAAAUUCCAUUGAUAGUUGGAUAGAAGCGGUACCACGUAUCGACGUCGUCUUGGACCAAAUUGGAAGCUCUGUUGCUGUAAUUAGUCGAGACAUAGCCGAUAACCAGGCCUGUUUGGCGCUGGAGGGCCGUAAUAACAUUCUGGUAGCUUGAUUGAGCUGCAGAGCCUGGACCAUUGGACGGAUUUGCGAUUGCUACGAUCCGGUUUGGUAGCGUGGUGGCAGCAGAAUUGAGAGAAGACCAUGCCUGGGAAUUUGAAGUAGGAUCGAAGUAGGCUGGUACCAUGAUCCUCAUUUUUUCACAUCUUUGGGACCACACUAACUGGCAUGCAAGGCUGAGCACCUGGAAGAACAAGAGAGCAAGAGAAAGCAUUUUCCUAUUCAUGAUCUUCAGGUUUUUCCUGAACAAUGAGCUUCAAGAUCAGGGUAAGAUGGCUUAAGAACUCGAUACUGAGUAGUUUCAAGCAGGACAGCUGUCAUUGAACUUAUGGCUCAAGUUAAGUAAGAUCAACGGCAACUUCUUAAGUCAAAGCUCGUUACGUAAGCAAGACCAAACUUCGCAGCGAACAUGAUAGCUCGACGUACCAGCAGUUCAUGCAUUGCUAGCAAAACACAAUAAAAACACCAUAGAGAGAAAAGGAAAUGCAUCACCUUGCCAGUAGCUCAACUACAGAUGGAUCAAAGCCCAUACUAAAAGAAUUCUCCGGAACAUAGCCUGGCAGCCGGAACCUUGAAGAAAACUACGGUACAACCGAGAAAGAUCCUUCAGCGUUUCUGAUUCUCCAUCUUGAGGGCUGGUGCUCUCCUAUUCUCCACCGCGGCGGCAGCCUCGUUGGUGGCAUCGCUCGCUCGCCACAAUCAAAUUCACGGUGAUGAGAUUUGGUUGCCAGGUACGCCGUCAGAUAAUCUUGAAUCCACAAAUGCGAUUGCGGCAUACCUUCCAUCCAGAGGGAAGCUUCCCUGGUCCCACAAAUUUGGGUCCCACAAAUGGCUCAAUGUCCUAGUCAUAGGCGUCAGCCGCCAUGUCAGAUCCUCAUUAGAAAAGUUGACAAGCCUUUUCUUCAAUAUUGAAAAUAUAAUUGUCUUUAAGCAGGGGCACCAAAAAUCAAGAGUGCAAAGUGUGUAAACAGUUUAUGAAUAAAUGAAGAUCCAAGAUUUCCCCUUGUUCUCCAGGUAAGCCAGAUUUUCUUUUCUUUCUAUUCGUUCUUAUUGAGUUUUUCAAUUAAUUCUAGCAAUAUCUUCUCUGGAAGGUUUUUCUCCUCCAAAUCAAAAUCUAAAUGGUAAAGCUUCAUGUUUUGCAAAUAGAGCUAGAAAACAAUAGCAAUGCAUCAGCCUUCAUGGUUUCAGGCUUUGUUGGACAUCAAGAACAUCCCUGCAAGGUGCCAUUCAGCCAAGAAUGCAGAGAUGAUCAAGGGACUUGCAACCACACAAACACUUUGCAGAUCUCUGUCCUAGGCCACUUUUCCACACUCAAAGUGUGCAAUGUGAAGUGGCUCAUCGAUACAUCACAUUUAUCAUCAAUAAUAACCUAAUCUUGUAUUUCCAUGCCAGUUCUAGUGCCAAGGAGAGUUUGUUGGUUGCAUUAUAGCAUGAUUUCUUCUUGGCAAGACACUCCCUUACUAGACAUAUAAUUAUCUUAUUUUCAUUGAAUAGAUCUUGACAUGAUAAAUGUAGAUAAUUGCCAUGGCAAUAGAAAAAAAUUGAUUGUUGUCCCCUUUUUUAUUCUGUCCUAGUGAAUUUAAUUUUUUUCUGGCAGUCCCUGGCCAUAAAACAAUUAUAAGUAAAUAUGCAACUAAAUAUGAAACUAAAUGUCCAAAUUAUGUAAAUAUAAUAUGCAACUAACUUAUGAAGAAUCUAAAGUUAUUUUAGCAUCUAAAAAACAAACGGAUAAAAAACUUUAAGUUCUAACUUAAUAUCCCAAUAUAAAAAUCUUAAUGUUCACAUAUUUAGCACAGAUAUUGAUUUUAGGUUUAGGGCUGUGCCGUGGGCUAUACCUUUUAGAAGGAUUCAGACAGAUAGUUUAGAUGAGGUGGCAUGCCACGUGGCAUACAUUUUCUACAAUAUGCAGCCCAUGUGGCACACUUUAUGUACUCAAAACAUGCCACGUGGCAAACCCUUACCUUUGGAUGCCACGUUGCCACAUUAUCCUUGCUAGGGUUUUUGAUUUCUCUUGCCUGGAUUAGGUUGCUGAGCACCAUGAGCAAGCCUUUGCUAAGGUAUACUGGCUAGUAGUGGAUUAGCUUUGGAGGUAUCUUAAUUUUCUUAAUUGCUUCUCAGCGUUUAGGGUUUAAGGUUUAAGCUCGGGAUGAUGCAUAUGAUGGCAUGGAAUGAGCAGGGGGUGAACCAUGAGGAGUUUAGGUGGGAACCCUAAAUGCUAAAUUGCAAGAUGGUGAGCAUGCGUCUUUAAACAAUUGAAGUAGAUGUGUUUUAAAUGCAUAUAUCUUGCCUAGUUAUAUCUUCUCUUUUGGGAGGUAUACCUUUCCUCUAAUACCUGCAAUCACAUAUUGCUUGCCAAAUAUAUUUUCAUUACACACGUAAAACUUUAUAAGUUUAUAUAGAAUAAUUAGUUUAGAUCACAUUAAAUCACAUAAUCUAUUUUCAUGUUUAUUGCCGCUACCUAUAAUAUAAAUUUCUAAGCAUAGAUCAUAUUCAAUUUUGACAAAUUUUUAUGAAUAUCACCAUCCACCACUAUAUAAUAAUACUAGAAAUCUAAGAAAUAAUGACCUGUGCCGAUUUAGUUUGGUUGUAACAUUUAAGCUAAACAUAGGUUACAAUUAAGUAAAUGCAUUUGCCUAACUCCCGCUGAUGCAUUAAAAUCUUAAAAUCUUCUCUAUCAUUCGGUUGCAUUCGUGCAAUUCGGGCCACCUUGCGAGGCUGAGCAAACGGUGACGAAAUGUUCUCGUCCUGAGCCUGAUCGACUUGGGGCUGCUGCAGAUGCUCAAGCUCUCCUUGGCACUGGAGUUUACAGUAAAGCGAGCUUUGUGCAGGACCCUCCUGCAGUGGCGGCUACUGAGUUUGGUUGCACGGAGAUACAAGAUCGGGUUUCUGUUGAUUCUAAAUGUCUCCAACCCCUAUGUAUCGAUGACCCGUUUCGCAUCGCAUACCUUGAUUGCCAAAAGGCGGCCUGCGACUAAGAUCUGCAAAGUGUUCAUGUGGUUGCAAGUUCCAUGAUCGUCUCUGCAUUCUUGGCUGAGUGGCACCUUUCACUCGAUGCAGAACAGGUUCUUCCUGGGUGUGGAACUGGAGUGGCGUUGGAGGAUAAUUUAGGUAACCUGGGGCACGACUUCUUGGGCAGCCAUGAAUUUGCCGAGCAUCGGCUAUGGCAGCGCGAGGAGUCCCCAGACUAGAUGCUCACGAGGCGCCUCCCAAUCAAGGACAUCCUGGCGGCGGUCCACCCUGGAGGAGAGAUUGAUCCAAAGCUGGAGACCACGCUGUACACCAGUGCUAUCGCAGUGCACAAUGCCUCGCGCCAGCAGUCAUCCAAUAGAAGAAACUAUCGUGAUAAAGCAAGAAAAGAAAAUCAGAGAGAUUUAGCAAACCUUUAAGUCAACCAGCUUAAAUAGUGCCUGUAGCUGGGCGGGCUUGCGCUUGAUGGAGGCAUAGAUCGCGACUGACCAUUCUGGAACUGCCUUGGAGGCCGACCGGGCUUGCGCUUGGGAGGCAUCAUUUCUGGAGCUGGCCCCUUGCGAAUUCCUGGCGGGAAUCACGGCGCUUUGAAAUAAAACCCUGGAGGAACUUCAUUUGCAUGAAUCACCGGAGCGAUGGCGCGUAAAGAAGCGAUGGUGAGGGUUUCUCAGAGUGAAGGAUCGAUAAAGAGUCUGGACGCGCUGCAAGCUAUUUGGUUUUCUUUUGGUCUAUAAGCGAGAAAGAGUUCCAAAGAUGGAGGAUAAUUUAGGUACCUGGGGCACGAGUUCUCGUCGUGGGAGCCGAGCAUCUGCUAUGGCAGCGCAGGACUCCCCAGAAUCGUCAACCAAGAAUCGUCACCAGGCGCCUCCCAAUCAAGGUCAUCGUGGCGGCGCUCCAGCGGCCCCCGGGCCUCGUCCGCGAGGCGGUGGAGCUUUUCUUCCGCCGAGCUCUCCCAGAAGCCCGCCAGCUCCAUGCGACGUCGUGCUCCACACCACGCUGCUCAACAUGUACGUGGCCGGGUUAAGGCCCAGAAGCUCUUCGACCAGACGCUCGAGCCCAACAACAUCACCUUCUCGGCCUACGCUAGAAACGGCCACUUUGGCAUGGAGCAUCGAACAGGACGGCUACAAGCCCGACAGCGUCACCUUCACGCACGUCCUCUACGCUUGCAGCCAUGGCGGCUUCGUGGACCUUACAGCGACGCUGGGAAGUGGAACAUGGCCGCCAAGGUCCACAAGUUGAUAUCAGCGUGACCGGGGAAUAAAGAAGCCCGGCAGCAGGAGCUGGAUCGAGAUCAAUGGCAAGAUGAACGAGCUAAUCGUAAGCUAUUCCUGGCACCUGUAACUAGAUCUACCAGAGAAGUGAUGAAACAAUACGUCUACAUACCUGAUACAAAGAAAAGGCUGCAUGACGCCGAAGAGGAUGAGAAGCAAGAUAUUCUCUACUUGCAUAGCUAGAAGCUGGCCAUGGGGCAAACUCCUCCAAAGGCGACCAUCAGAUUGAUUGUUAUUAUUUAUGUGAGUAAUUCUGUUACUUAGCACUGAUUAUCAUUUUUAAUAUAGUCCACCUCUCCAGAGAAGUAGCUGGCUAUGGUGUCCCACGGAUUUGGAAGACUAUCAUUGGUCACAUAAACCCAGCCCACAUUCUGCUGGUAAGCACGAUCAAUAACAUCUCCAUAGUCAAAGCUUGACACAUUCACAUCCGUGACAUUGUAGAACAGGGCAUAAAAGUUAUACCUCGAAUACUUGCUCGUCCAGGAACUCUGAGUCAUAGACAGCCCACCAACACCGCUCUCAAAAAUACAAAUCACAUCGGCUACCCGAGAACCAUUAUAGAAGAGGUAUGUCUCCAGGGUUGGAGCUCCGGGAUUAUUAACCACUAGAGAGCUCGAAUUCUUGGACUUCACGUAGUUGUAGAGGCUUUGAUAGUAAGGCUGCUUCCCGUCUGUGUUGGCAACUUCGUCGAAGAAAAUUCCAUUGAUAGUUGGAUAGAAGCGGUACCACGUAUCGACGUCGUCUUGGACCAAAUUGGAAGCUCUGUUGCUGUAAUUAGUCGAGACAUAGCCGAUAACCAGGCCUGUUUGGCGCUGGAGGGCCGUAAUAACAUUCUGGUAGCUUGAUUGAGCUGCAGAGCCUGGACCAUUGGACGGAUUUGCGAUUGCUACGAUCCGGUUUGGUAGCGUGGUGGCAGCAGAAUUGAGAGAAGACCAUGCCUGGGAAUUUGAAGAAGGAUCGAAGUAGGCCGGUACCAUGAUCCUCAUUUUUUCACAUCUUUGGGACCACACUAACUGGCAUGCAAGGCUGAGCACCUGGAAGAACAAGAGAGCAAGAGAAAGCAUUUUCCUAUUCAUGAUCUUCAGGUUUUUCCUGAACAAUGAGCUUCAAGAUCAGGGUAAGAUGGCUUAAGAACUCGAUACUGAGUAGUUUCAAGCAGGACAGCUGUCAUUGAACUUAUGGCUCAAGUUAAGUAAGAUCAACGGCAACUUCUUAAGUCAAAGCUCGUUAUGUAACCAAGACCAAACUUCGCAGCGAACAUGAUAGCUACACAACAUCGACGUACCAGCAGUUCAUGCAUUGCUAGCAAAACACAAUAAAAACACCAUAGAGAGAAAAGGAAAUGCAUCACCUUGCCAGUAGCUCAACUACAGAUGGAUCAAAGCCCAUACUAAAAGAAUUCUCCGGAACAUAGCCUGGCAGCCGGAACCUUGAAGAAAACUACGGUACAACCGAGAAAGAUCCUUCAGCGUUUCUGAUUCUCCAUCUUGAGGGCUGGUGCUCUCCUAUUCUCCACCGCGGCGGCAGCCUCGUUGGUGGCAUCGCUCGCUCGCCACAAUCAAAUUCACGGUGAUGAGAUUUGGUUGCCAGGUACGCCGUCAGAUAAUCUUGAAUCCACAAAUGCGAUUGCGGCAUACCUUCCAUCCAGAGGGAAGCUUCCCUGGUCCCACAAAUUUGGGUCCCACAAAUGGCUCAAUGUCCUAGUCAUAGGCGUCAGCCGCCAUGUCAGAUCCUCAUUAGAAAAGUUGACAAGCCUUUUCUUCAAUAUUGAAAAUAUAAUUGUCUUUAAGCAGGGGCACCAAAGAUCAAGAGUGCAAAGUGUGUAAACAGUUUAUGAAUAAAUGAAGAUCCAAGAUUUCUCCAGGUAAGCCAGAUUUUCUUUUCUUUCUAUUCGUUCUUAUUGAGUUUUUCAAUUAAUUCUAGCAAUAUCUUCUCUGGAAGGUUUUUCUCCUCCGAAUCAAAAUCUAAAUGGUAAAGCUUCAUGUUUUGCAAAUAGAGCUAGAAAACAAUAGCAAUGCAUCAGCCGUCAUGGUUUCAGGCUUUGUUGGACAUCAAGAACAUCCCUAGGUGUUGUUCUGCAUUGAGUGCAAGGUGCCAUUCAGCCAAGAAUGCAGAGAUGAUCAAGGGACUUGCAACCACACAAACACUUUGCAGAUCUCUGUCCUAGGCCACUUUUCCACACUCAAAGUGUGCAAUGUGAAGUGGCUCAUCGAUACAUCACAUUUAUCAUCAAUCUUGUAUUUCCAUGCCAGUCUAGUGCCAAGGAGAGUUUGUUGGUUGCAUUAUAGCAUGAUUUCUUCUUGGCAAGACACUCCCUUACUAGACAUAUAAUUAUCUUAUUUUCAUUGAAUAGAUCUUGACAUGAUAAAUGUAGAUAAUUGCCAUGGCAAUAGAAAAAAAUUGAUUGUUGUCCCCUUUUUUAUUCUGUCCUAGUGAAUUUAAUUUUUUUCUGGCAGUCCCUGGCCAUAAAACAAUUAUAAGUAAAUAUGCAACUAAAUAUGAAACUAAAUGUCCAAAUUAUGCAACUAAAUGCCCAUAUAGCUUUUGUCUUUCUUAUAUUUUAGCAUCUAAAAAACAAACGGAUAAAAAACUUUAAGUUCUAACUUAAUAUCCCAAUAUAAAAAACUUAAUGUUCACAUAUUUAGCACAGAUAUUGUUUAGGUUUAGGGCUUGUGCCGUGGGCUAUACCUUUUAGAAGGAUUCAGACAGAUAGUUUAGAUGAGGUGGCAUGCCACGUGGCAUACAUUUUCUACAAUAUGCAGCCCAUGUGGCACACUUUAUGUACUCAAAACAUACCACGUGGCAAACCCUUACUUUUGGAUGCCACGUUGGCAUCUUGGAGCUUAAACCUUAAACCCUAAACGCUGAGAAGCAAUUAAGAAAAUUAAGAUACCUCCAAAGCUAAUCCACUACUAGUUAUGUGGACCAGUAUACCUUAGCAAAGGCUUGCUCAUGGUGCUCAGCAACCUAAUCCAGGCAAGAGAAAUCAAAAACCCUAGCAAGGAUAAUGUGGCAAAGAAUGAGCGGGGAUGAUGCAUAUGAUGGCAUGGAAUGAGCAGGGGGUGAACCAUGAGGAGUUUAGGUGGGAACCCUAAAUGCUAAAUUGCAAGAUGGUGAGCAUGCGUCUUUAAACAAUUGAAGUAGAUGUGUUUUAAAUGCAUAUAUCUUGCCUAGUUAUACCUUCUCUUUUGGGAGGUAUACCUUUCCUCUACCAAAUAUAUUUUCAUUACACACGUAGAACUUUAUAAGUUUAUAUAGAAUAAUUAGUUUUGAUCACAUUAAAUCACAUAAUCUAUUUUCAUGUUUAUUGCCGCUACCUAUAAUAUAAAUUUCUAAGCAUAGAUCAUAUUCAAUUUUGACAUUUUUUUAUCAAUAUCACCAUCCACCACUAUAUAAUAAUACUAGAAAUCUAAGAAAUAAUGACCUGUGUUUGGUUGUAAUAUUUAAGCUAAACAUAGGUUACAAUUAAGUAAAUGCAUUUGCCUAACUCCCGCUGAUGCAUUAAAAUCUUAAAAUCUUCUCUAUCAUUCGGUUGCAUUCGUGCAAUUCGGGCCACCUUGCGAGGCUGAGCAAACGGUGACGAAAUGUUCUCGUCCUGAGUCUGAUCGACUUGGGGCUGCUGCAGAUGCUCAAGCUCUCCUUGGCACUGGAGUUUACAGUAAAGCGAGCUUUGUGCAGGACCCUCCUGCAGUGGCGGCUACUGAGUUUGGUUGCACGGAGAUACAAGAUCGGGUUUCUGUUGAUUCUAAAUGUCUCCAACCCCUAUGUAUCGAUGACCCGUUUCGCAUCGCAUACCUUGAUUGCCAAAAGGCGGCCUGCGACUAAGAUCUGCAAAGUGUUCAUGUGGUUGCAAGUUCCAUGAUCGUCUCUGCAUUCUUGGCUGAGUGGCACCUUUCACUCGAUGCAGAACAGGUUCUUCCUGGGUGUGGAACUGGAGUGGCGUUGGAGGAUAAUUUAGGUAACCUGGGGCACGAGUUCUUGGGCAGCCAUGAAUUUGCCGAGCAUCGGCUAUGGCAGCGCAGGAGUCCCCAGUCUAGAUGCUCACGAGGCGCCUCCCAAUCAAGGACAUCCUGGCGGCGGUCCACCCUGGAGGAGAGAUUGAUCCAAAGCUGGAGACCACGCUGAACACCAGUGCUAUCGCAGUGCACAAUGCCUCGCGCCAGCAGUCAUCCAAUAGAAGAAACUAUCGUGAUAAAGCAAGAAAAGAAAAUCAGAGAGAUUUAGUAAACCUUUAAGUCAACCAGCUUAAAUAGUGGCUUGCGCUUGAUGGAGGCAUAGAUCGCGACUGACCAUUCUGGAACUGCCUUGGAGGCCGACCGGGCUUGCGCUUGGGAGGCAUCAUUUCUGGAGCUGGCCCCUUGCGAAUUCCUGGCGGGAAUCACGGCGCUUUGAAAUAAAACCCUGGAGGAACUUGACAUGGGGCAUUUGCAUGAAUCACCGGAGCGAUGGCGCGUAAAGAAGCGAUGGUGAGGGUUUCUCAGAGUGAAGGAUCGAUAAAGAGUCUGGACGCGCUGCAAGCUAUUUGGUUUUCUUUUGGUCUAUAAGCGAGAAAGAGUUUCAAAGAUGGAGGAUAAUUUAGGUACCUGGGGCACGAGUUCUCGUCGUGGGAGCCGAGCAUCUGCUAUGGCAGCGCAGGACUCCCCAGAAUCGUCAACCAAGAAUCGUCACCAGGCGCCUCCCAAUCAAGGUCAUCCUGGCGGCGCUCCAGCGGCCCCCGGGCCUCGUCCGCGAGGCGGUGGAGCUUUUCUUCCACCGCUGCGCCGCCGAGCUCUCCCAGAAGCCCGCCAGCUCCAUGCGACGUCGUGCUCCACACCACGCUGGCUGCUCAACAUGUACGUGGCCGGGUUAAGGCCCAGAAGCUCUUCGACCAGACGCUCGAGCCCAACAACAUCACCUUCUCGGCCUACGCUAGAAACGGCCACUUUGGCAUGGAGCAUCGAACAGGACGGCUACAAGCCCGACAGCGUCACCUUCACGCACGUCCUCUACGCUUGCAGCCAUGGCGGCUUCGUGGACCUUACAGCGACGCUGGGAAGUGGAACAUGGCCGCCAAGGUCCACAAGUUGAUAUAAGCGUGACCGGGGAAUAAAGAAGCCCGGCAGCAGGAGCUGGAUCGAGAUCAAUGGCAAGAUGAACGAGUUCAUCGUAAACGAUUCCUGGCACACGUACCUCGCCCAGAUCCGCUAGAGAAGUGAUGAAACAAUAGCAAGAUAUUCUCUACUUCCAUAGCUAGAAGCUGGCCAUGGGGCAAACUCCUCCAAAGGCGACCAUCAGAUUGAUUGUUAUUAUUUAUGUGAGUAAUUCUGUUACUUAGCACUGAUUAUCAUUUUUAAUAUAGUCCACCUCUCCAGAGAAGUAGCUGGCUAUGGUGUCCCACGGAUUUGGAAGACUAUCAUUGGUCACAUAAACCCAGCCCACAUUCUGCUGGUAAGCACGAUCAAUAACAUCUCCAUAGUCAAAGCUUGACACAUUCACAUCCGUGACAUUGUAGAACAGGGCAUAAAAGUUAUACCUCGAAUAAUUGCUCGUCCAGGAACUCUGAGUCAUAGACAGCCCACCAACACCGCUCUCAAAAAUACAAAUCACAUCGGCUACCCGAGAACCAUUAUAGAAGAGGUAUGUCUCCAGGGUUGGAGCUCCGGGAUUAUUAACCACUAGAGAGCUCGAAUUCUUGGACUUCACGUAGUUGUAGAGGCUUUGAUAGUAAGGCUGCUUCCCGUCUGUGUUGGCAACUUCGUCGAAGAAAAUUCCAUUGAUAGUUGGAUAGAAGCGGUACCACGUAUCGACGUCGUCUUGGACCAAAUUGGAAGCUCUGUUGCUGUAAUUAGUCGAGACAUAGCCGAUAACCAGGCCUGUUUGGCGCUGGAGGGCCGUAAUAACAUUCUGGUAGCUUGAUUGAGCUGCAGAGCCUGGACCAUUGGACGGAUUUGCGAUUGCUACGAUCCGGUUUGGUAGCGUGGUGGCAGCAGAAUUGAGAGAAGACCAUGCCUGGGAAUUUGAAGAAGGAUCGAAGUAGGCCGGUACCAUGAUCCUCAUUUGUUCACAGCUUUGGGACCACACUAACUGGCAUGCAAGGCUGAGCACCUGAAAGAACAAGAGAGCAAGAGAAAGCAUUUUCCUAUUCAUGAUCUUCAGGAUUUUCCUGAACAAUGAGCUUCAAGAUCAGGGUAAGAUGGCUUAAGAACUCGACCACGAACUUACUGAGUAGUUUCAAGCAGGACAGCUGUCAUUGAAC